GAGGAAGUCAGCGGCCAAGGAGGGUGAACUGGAAGCAGUGAGAGAUCGGCGCUGCCCCUCAGCGCAAGUUCCCGAAAGGUAUCCCUAACUCAGAGUCCAAGUUUCCUGAGGAAGCUCUAGGGAACCGGGGCAGUUGAAUUCAAUAAGACAGUGCCAGCCCGACGGGGCCCAGCCAGGACCUACUCAGCAGCAAGGCAUUUCCCCUUUUCUCUCUGCUCUGCUCAAAUUUGGCGAAUUAAAAGUAGGAACGAGGCAUUACAGGAAUUGGAAGGAGUUGGUACAGACACUUUACAUGCAUUGCUUAAUCCAAUC